CGUGUAGGCGGGACAGCAAGUCGGGUGUGAAAGCCCUGGGCUCAACCCAGGAAGGGCAUUCGAUACUACUGUUCUUGAGUAUGACAGAGGAAAGCGGAAUUCCCGGUGUAGCGGUGAAAUGCGUAGAUAUCGGGAAGAACACCUGUGGCGAAGGCGGCUUUCUGGGUCACAACUGACGCUGAGGCGCGAAAGCUAGGGGAGCAACG
rnacentral:rRNA from 1 species